CCCCACUUCUAGGCUUGGUUGAACCGUGCAGAUACCUUCUCGAAACAAAAGAUUUUCCUACCUGCUUAUACUUGGUAACCGAGGGAAUUACUAAGACUUCUUGCUCAUUUCUGAGUAUUGUCUUUAUAUCCUGACACUAUGAAUGCUACUUGGAUGCCUCUUAAGUCUGUUCUCUGGGGAGGCAGUAAGGGGCCGUGGAGCUGGCCUCGGCCUCGGCAUCGGGAGAGGCUGGACUUCCUGUCUCUCUGUGCUGAAUGGCUGCGAUGGCGCCCGCUCUCACUGACGCAGCAGCUGAAGCACACCAUAUCCGGUUCAAACUGGCUCCCCCAUCCUCUACCUUGUCCCCUGGCAGUGCCGAAAAUAACGGCAACGCCAACAUCCUUAUUGCUGCCAACGGAACCAAAAGAAAAGCCAUUGCUGCAGAGGAUCCCAGCCUAGAUUUCCGAAAUAAUCCUACCAAGGAAGACUUGGGAAAGCUGCAACCACUGGUGGCAUCUUAUCUCUGCUCUGAUGUAACAUCUGUUCCCUCAAAGGAGUCUUUGAAGUUGCAAGGGGUCUUCAGCAAGCAGACAGUCCUUAAAUCUCAUCCUCUCUUAUCUCAGUCCUAUGAACUCCGAGCUGAGCUGUUGGGGAGACAGUCAGUUUUGGAGUUUUCCUUAGAAAAUCUUAGAACCAUGAAUACGAGUGGUCAGACAGCUCUGCCACAAGCACCUGUAAAUGGGUUGGCUAAGAAAUUGACUAAAAGUUCAACACAUUCUGAUCAUGACAAUUCCACUUCCCUCAAUGGGGGAAAACGGGCUCUCACUUCAUCUGCUCUUCAUGGGGGUGAAAUGGGAGGAUCUGAAUCUGGGGACUUGAAGGGGGGUAUGACCAAUUGCACUCUUCCACAUAGAAGCCUUGAUGUAGAACACACAAGUUUGUAUAGCAAUAAUAGCACUGCAAACAAAUCUUCUGUCAAUUCCAUGGAACAGCCGGCACUUCAAGGAAGCAGUAGGUUAUCACCUGGUACAGACUCCAGCUCUAACUUGGGGGGUGUCAAAUUGGAGGGUAAAAAGUCUCCCCUGUCUUCCAUUCUUUUCAGUGCUUUAGAUUCUGACACAAGGAUAACAGCUUUACUGCGGCGACAGGCUGACAUUGAGAGCCGUGCCCGCAGAUUACAAAAGCGCUUACAGGUUGUGCAAGCCAAGCAGGUUGAGAGGCAUAUACAACAUCAGCUGGGUGGAUUUUUGGAGAAGACUUUGAGCAAACUGCCAAACUUGGAAUCCUUGAGACCACGGAGCCAGUUGAUGCUGACUCGAAAGGCCGAAGCUGCCUUGAGAAAAGCUGCCAGUGAGACCACCACUUCAGAGGGACUUAGCAACUUUCUGAAAAGCAAUUCAAUUUCAGAAGAAUUGGAGAGAUUUACAGCUAGUGGCAUAGCCAACUUGAGGUGCAGUGAACAGGCAUUUGAUUCAGAUGUCACUGACAGUAGUUCAGGAGGGGAGUCUGAUAUUGAAGAGGAAGAACUGACCAGAGCUGAUCCCGAGCAGCGUCAUGUACCCCUAGGCUGGCUUACUAGAGAAGGCUGAAAAAGAUGAAUAUGUGGGAAGAAUUGGUGUUUCCUAGACUGUAUUAAAAGGUAUCUCCAUACAGCCAAGAAUAAAGAAAGAAAGGGAUAGAUGGAAUGAGUUUCAUCGUGAUU
rnacentral:sRNA from 1 species